rfam:Leucoagaricus sp. SymC.cos contig19379, whole genome shotgun sequence.
GACUACCUGGCGCAAUGGUAGCGCGUUUGGCUUCGAUUGCCGAAUGUUACCAAAAGGUUGCAGGUUCGAGUCCUGCGGUGGUCA